AGAGUUUGAUCCUGGCUCAGAUUGAACGCUGAUGCUUUACACUGCAAGUCGAACGGUAACAGGCCUUCGGGCGCUGACGAGUGGCGAACGGGUGAGUAAUGCAUCGGAACGUGCCCAGAGGUGGGGGAUAACGCAGCGAAAGCUGUGCUAAUACCGCAUAUUAUCUGAGGAUGAAAGCGGGGGACUUUGGCCUCGCGCCUUUGGAGCGGCCGAUGUCAGAUUAGGUAGUUGGUGGGGUAAAGGCCUACCAAGCCGACGAUCUGUAGCUGGUCUGAGAGGACGACCAGCCACACUGGGACUGCCUACCAAGCCGACGAUCUGUAGCUGGUCUGAGAGGACGACCAGCCACACUGGGACUGCCUACCAAGCCGACGAUCUGUAGCUGGUCUGAGAGGACGACCAGCCACACUGGGACUGGACACGGCCCAGACUCCUACGGGAGGCAGCAGUGGGGAAUUUUGGACAAUGGGCGCAAGCCUGAUCCAGCAAUGCCGCGUGCAGGAAGAAGGCCUUCGGGUUGUAAACUGCUUUUGUACGGAACGAAAAGGCUCUGGUUAAUACCUGGGGCUCAUGACGGUACCGUAAGAAUAAGCACCGGCUAACUACGUGCCAGCAGCCGCGGUAAUACGUAGGGUGCAAGCGUUAAUCGGAAUUACUGGGCGUAAAGCGUGCGCAGGCGGUGAUGUAAGACAGGCGUGAAAUCCCCGGGCUCAACCUGGGAAUGGCGCUUGUGACUGCAUCGCUGGAGUGCGGCAGAGGGGGAUGGAAUUCCGCGUGUAGCAGUGAAAUGCGUAGAUAUGCGGAGGAACACCGAUGGCGAAAGCAAUCCCCUGGGCCUGCACUGACGCUCAUGCACGAAAGCGUGGGGAGCAAACAGGAUUAGAUACCCUGGUAGUCCACGCCCUAAACGAUGUCAACUGGUUGUUGGGUCUUAGCUGACUCAGUAACGAAGCUAACGCGUGAAGUUGACCGCCUGGGGAGUACGGCCGCAAGGUUGAAACUCAAAGGAAUUGACGGGACCCGCACAAGCGGUGGAUGAUGUGUUUAUCGAUGCACGCGAAA
rnacentral:rRNA from 1 species